rnacentral:rRNA from 1 species
AUUAGACGAAUCAUCUGGAAAGAUGAAUCAAAGAAGGUAAUAAUCCUGUAGUCGAAAAUGUUGUCUCUCUUGAGUGGAUCCUGAGUACGACGGAGCACGUGAAAUUCCGUCGGAAUCUGGGAGGACCAUCUCCUAAGGCUAAAUACUCUCUAGUGACCGAUAGUGAACCAGUACCGUGAGGGAAAGGUGAAAAGCACCCCGGAAGGGGAGUGAAAUAGAACCUGAAACCGUGUGCUUACAAGUAGUCAGAGCCCGUUAAUGGGUGAUGGCGUGCCUUUUGUAGAAUGAACCGGCGAGUUACGAUUUGAUGCAAGGUUAAGCAGUAAAUGUGGAGCCGUAGCGAAAGCGAGUCUGAAUAGGGCGUUUAGUAUUUGGUCGUAGACCCGAAACCAGGUGAUCUACCCUUGGUCAGGUUGAAGUUCAGGUAACACUGAAUGGAGGACCGAACCGACUUACGUUGAAAAGUGAGCGGAUGAACUGAGGGUAGCGGAGAAAUUCCAAUCGAACCUGGAGAUAGCUGGUUCUCUCCGAAAUAGCUUUAGGGCUAGCCUCAAGUGAUGAUUAUUGGAGGUAGAGCACUGUUUGGACGAGGGGCCCCUCUCGGGUUACCGAAUUCAGACAAACUCCGAAUGCCAAUUAAUUUAACUUGGGAGUCAGAACAUGGGUGAUAAGGUCCGUGUUCGAAAGGGAAACAGCCCAGACCACCAGCUAAGGUCCCAAAAUAUAUGUUAAGUGGAAAAGGAUGUGGCGUUGCCCAGACAACUAGGAUGUUGGCUUAGAAGCAGCCAUCAUUUAAAGAGUGCGUAAUAGCUCACUAGUCGAGUGACACUGCGCCGAAAAUGUACCGGGGCUAAACAUAUUACCGAAGCUGUGGAUUGUCCUUUGGACAAUGGUAGGAGAGCGUUCUAAGGGCGUUGAAGCAUGAUCGUAAGGACAUGUGGAGCGCUUAGAAGUGAGAAUGCCGGUGUGAGUAGCGAAAGACGGGUGAGAAUCCCGUCCACCGAUUGACUAAGGUUUCCAGAGGAAGGCUCGUCCGCUCUGGGUUAGUCGGGUCCUAAGCUGAGGCCGACAGGCGUAGGCGAUGGAUAACAGGUUGAUAUUCCUGUACCACCUAUAAUCGUUUUAAUCGAUGGGGGGACGCAGUAGGAUAGGCGAAACGUGCGAUUGGAUUGCACGUCUAAGCAGUAAGGCUGAGUAUUAGGCAAAUCCGGUACUCGUUAAGGCUGAGCUGUGAUGGGGAGAAGACAUUGUGUCUUCGAGUCGUUGAUUUCACACUGCCGAGAAAAGCCUCUAGAUAGAAAAUAGGUGCCCGUACCGCAAACCGACACAGGUAGUCAAGAUGAGAAUUCUAAGGUGAGCGAGCGAACUCUCGUUAAGGAACUCGGCAAAAUGACCCCGUAACUUCGGGAGAAGGGGUGCUCUUUAGGGUUAACGCCCAGAAGAGCCGCAGUGAAUAGGCCCAAGCGACUGUUUAUCAAAAACACAGGUCUCUGCUAAACCGUAAGGUGAUGUAUAGGGGCUGACGCCUGCCCGGUGCUGGAAGGUUAAGAGGAGUGGUUAGCUUCUGCGAAGCUACGAAUCGAAGCCCCAGUAAACGGCGGCCGUAACUAUAACGGUCCUAAGGUAGCGAAAUUCCUUGUCGGGUAAGUUCCGACCCGCACGAAAGGCGUAACGAUUUGGGCACUGUCUCAACGAGAGACUCGGUGAAAUCAUAGUACCUGUGAAGAUGCAGGUUACCCGCGACAGGACGGAAAGACCCCGUGGAGCUUUACUGUAGCCUGAUAUUGAAAUUCGGCACAGCUUGUACAGGAUAGGUAGGAGCCUUUGAAACGUGAGCGCUAGCUUACGUGGAGGCGCUGGUGGGAUACUACCCUAGCUGUGUUGGCUUUCUAACCCGCACCACUUAUCGUGGUGGGAGACAGUGUCAGGCGGGCAGUUUGACUGGGGCGGUCGCCUCCUAAAAGGUAACGGAGGCGCUCAAAGGUUCCCUCAGAAUGGUUGGAAAUCAUUCAUAGAGUGUAAAGGCAUAAGGGAGCUUGACUGCGAGACCUACAAGUCGAGCAGGGUCGAAAGACGGACUUAGUGAUCCGGUGGUUCCGCAUGGAAGGGCCAUCGCUCAACGGAUAAAAGCUACCCCGGGGAUAACAGGCUUAUCUCCCCCAAGAGUUCACAUCGACGGGGAGGUUUGGCACCUCGAUGUCGGCUCAUCGCAUCCUGGGGCUGUAGUCGGUCCCAAGGGUUGGGCUGUUCGCCCAUUAAAGCGGUACGCGAGCUGGGUUCAGAACGUCGUGAGACAGUUCGGUCCCUAUCCGUCGUGGGCGUAGGAAAUUUGAGAGGAGCUGUCCUUAGUACGAGAGGACCGGGAUGGACAUACCUCUGGUGUACCAGUUGUCGUGCCAACGGCAUAGCUGGGUAGCUAUGUGUGGACGGGAUAAGUGCUGAAAGCAUCUAAGCAUGAAGCCCCCCUCAAGAUGAGAUUUCCCAACUUCGGUUAUAAGAUCCCUCAAAGAUGAUGAGGUUAAUAGGUUCGAGGUGGAAGCAUGGUGACAUGUGGAGCUGACGAAUACUAAUCGAUCGAAGACUUAAUCAA